GGUCUCUGGUUGAUCCUGCCCGACCCGACUGCUAUCAGAGUGGGACUAAGCCAUGCGAGUCAACGUAGCAAUGCGUGGCGAACGGCUCAGUAACACGUAGUCAACAUGCCCAGGGGACGUGGAUAACCUCGGGAAACUGAGAUUAAACCGCGAUAGGUCAAGAUUUCUGGAAUGGAUCCUGGCUUAAAUCUACAUGGCCCCUGGAUUGGACUGCGGCCGAUCAGGCUGUUGGUGAGGUAAUGGCCCACCAAACCUAUAACCGGUACGGGCUCUGAGAGGAGAAGCCCGGAGAUGGGCACUGAGACAAGGGCCCAGGCCCUAUGGGGCGCAGCAGGCGCGAAAACUCUGCAAUGGGCGAAAGCCUGACAGGGUUACUCUGAGUGAUUUCCGCUAAGGAGAUCUUUUGGCAGCUCUAAAAAUGGUGCAGAAUAAGGGGUGGGCAAGUCUGGUGUCAGCCGCCGCGGUAAUACCAGCACCCCGAGUGGUCGGGACGAUUAUUGGGCCUAAAGCAUCCGUAGCCGGUUGUGCAAGUCCUCCGUUAAAUCCAGCCGCUCAACGGAUGGGCUGCGGAGGAUACUACAGAACUAGGAGGCGGGAGAGGCAAGCGGUACUUAGUGGGUAGGGGUAAAAUCCUUUGAUCCAUUGAAGACCACCAGUGGCGAAGGCGGCUUGCCAGAACGCGCUCGACGGUGAGGGAUGAAAGCUGGGGGAGCAAACCGGAUUAGAUACCCGGGUAGUCCCAGCUGUAAACGAUGCAGACUCGGUGAUGGGCUAGCCUCGUGUCAGCCCAGUGCCGCAGGGAAGCCGUUAAGUCUGCCGCCUGGGGAGUACGGUCGCAAGACUGAAACUUAAAGGAAUUGGCGGGGGAGCACCACAAGGGGUGAAAGCUGCGGUUUCAU
rnacentral:rRNA from 1 species